rnacentral:rRNA from 1 species
UACGUAGGGACCAAGCGUUGUUCGGAUUUACUGGGCGUAAAGGGCGCGUAGGCGGCAAUUCAAGUCAUCUGUGAAAUCUCCGGGCUUAACCCGGAACGGUCAGGUGAUACUGUUUUGCUAGAGUGCGGAAGGGGCAAUCGGUACUCAGUGGGUAGGGGUAAAAUCCUUUGAUCCAUUGAAGACCACCAGUGGCGAAGGCGGCUUGCCAGAACGCGCUCGACGGUGAGGGAUGAAAGCUGGGGGAGCAAACCGG